rnacentral:rRNA from 1 species
AUACGGAGGAUGCGAGCGUUAUCCGGAUUUAUUGGGUUUAAAGGGUGCGUAGGCGGGUUAAUAAGUCAGUGGUGAAACCCUGGAGCUUAACUUCAGGCUUGCCGUUGAUACUGUUAGUCUUGAGUAUGGUCAAGGUAGGCGGAAUGUGUAAUGUAGCGGUGAAAUGCUUAGAUAUUACACAGAACACCGAUUGCGAAGGCAGCUUACUGGUCCAUUACUGACGCUGAAGCACGAAAGCGUGGGGAUCGAACAGGAUUAGAUACCCUGGUAGUCCACGCCGUAAACGAUGAUCACUCGCUGUUAGCGAUAUACAGUUAGCGGCUAAGCAAAAGCAUUAAGUGAUCCACCUGGGGAGUACGGCCGCAAGGCUGAA